rnacentral:rRNA from 1 species
UACGGGGGGGCAAGCGUUGUUCGGAAUUACUGGCGUAAAGGGCUCGUAGGCGGCCAACUAAGUCAGACGUGAAAUCCCUCGGCUUAAACCGGGGGAACUGCGUCUGAUACUGGAUGGCUUGAAGUUUGGGAGAGGGAUGCGGAAGAUUCCGAGGUGUAGCGGUGAAAUGCGUAGAUAUCUGGAGAAUACCGGUGGCGAAGGCGGCAUCCGUGGGACCGACAUUGACGCUGAUGAGCGAAAGCUAAGGGGAGCAACGGGGAUUAAGAU